UCCAUUUUGUUAUAAUUAAUUCAGAUCAGAUCUUGGUCGUUGGAUUGGAUGCUUUCAAUCUUGGCUUUCUGUAUCCUCAUUCGGUUGUUCAGUGCUUGAAGUUUCAUCGUGCGUUAUGUUUUGGCGUUAUGGAUUCUUAGAAAUUACCGUUUUCAUCUUAAAGGAGAGGCAGUCAUCAUUUACAUCUAUCAAGGAAGCGUUCGAGCGAAGAAGCUUCUCCGCACCGCAUUUCGUGAUUUUCGUUGCAUUUUUGUUUGUCAUCGCGUCUGCCUCCUCUGUGACCUACUGCUCGCCUCCUCUUCACCAGGUAUAUAUGUGUUGGUUUCUGGUGAAAAUGGGGGAGGGAGCCGUGUGGAGCCAAGCCUUUUGUUCAUUGCUUCUCAUAUUAUCCCUCAAUUCCGUGCUAACCCCGUUACAGAUCGUGUGAGCAAAACUGAAACAGAGCGCGAGCGAGGCGAGGCAGAUGAGAUUGACCAGUUUGCUUCUUGCAGGCGGUGGUGGAGCGACCUGCGAUCUACCUCAUAUGGUUUUUCUCUGUGUGACUCUUCUCGGCAAAAUCAAUUCAUUCAUUAACGAUGGUGUUUCUACCCUACCUCUACUUUCAGCAUCUGUUUUAUCUGCUCUUUCAGCACCAUGUCUGUGGAGGCUAUGGAGGAAUUGGUUGAUUUAAAAUUGUUUUAUGAUCAUUUGUAUUCUCAGCACACCUUUCAGCAAUAUGCUUUGAUGGUAAAAUGAUCAAAAUGAGCCACUUUCAUCCAUAAUUUCAGCCAUGGAAGAACACUGCAUCUCAGGCAAGAUUGAGAAGAAGAGUACUUAGGAUGUCCAAAAAUAUCCUUCUAUCUCCAUUACAAGAUCAAUUUUUCAAAGACAUGUUCACCUGUGGAAGGAAAAAUAGGGCUCCUUCACGACCUGAGAUGGAUCCCCAUGCAAAGCGGUUCAAACCAUGGAGGUUGCAGGGUGCGGCGACAGGAACCCGGAGCGUGGGGAGUUUCGAUCUUAAAUCCACUUGAGAACAGCAUAUCCAAGAUAAGGGUGGAGAAUAGAUUCACUGCCUGCCAAUUAGCCAAGUCAUAGAGGUAAAACUUGAAAGACUAAGGAAGUGUUCUUAACAAGAACUCUGCAAUUUUCGUAAAGUUUAUAAUCUUGAGAAGCUACCUUGGUCAAAUAGGUUCUCACAUGUUCUGAAGCUCCUAUAUAAGUAUUUCCAAAUGUCCAAGGGUUUGUGCGUUCUGAUCUGUAUCACAAAUUUUUAUAAGAGUUUAUUCGUUUAUAGUUCAAUCUCUGAACUGCUGAUACAUUUUAUUGCUUGGUUGCAGAUUUUGUUACCAAUAUAAGAAGUUUGUUGAAUUAUCUAACUUCUAACGUGCAAACAGACCGGGUGAUUUUGAGUGCAAGGAAUACAACAUCACUAAUUUUGGCUGGAAAAUACAAUUUUGAGUUGUUUGGAUCAAUCAUGAAAAUAAGGGGAAAAGGAAAACCAUACUGAGACAGGGUUGUGUCAUAAAUCAUCCCUCACAUGCGAUGAAAAUGGGCUAAGGAGCAGGAAAAGUAACAUUCCUAUUAUACCCUUCUUCUUCUCCAUCUUUGCAACCGAUAUGGGGAGAAAUUUGGAGGUGACAGUGGAAAUCUGUUCAUCUUCUCCGGCAUGCUCAACCAUGUCAGCAGUGGUGGUGGUGGCAGUGUAGAGCAUGGCGGUGAAGGCGGUGGUGAUGGGGGCAGUGGAGGGUGGCGGUUGAUUAAAAGUAGCCUUAUACAUCACAAUUCUAUCACGCUUGAUCCAUUAUUUAUUGGGUGGAUUGAAUAAUCCAUAAUUUUAAUGUAUAAGAGUGAUUGAUUGAUAAACUUACACAAUACAAUGUUUGCACCAAACAAUGUAUAAAUCUAUAAUGUAUUGUAUAAGCCUA